rnacentral:misc_RNA from 1 species
GAUGAAAAACGUAGCGAAAUGCGAUAAGUAAUGUGAAUUGCAGAAUUCAGUGAAUCAUCGAAUCUUUGAACGCACCUUGCACCCUUUGGCAUUCCGAAGGGUAUGCUCGUUUGAGUGUCAUUGUACUCUCACACUCUCCGAUCCUAUGGAUUCGGGGAGCGGUGGACUUGGGUGUUGCUGCCUUUCCUUGUGGCUCACCUCAAAUGUGUCAGUGCACCUCUUGGUUGGACAUAGUACGGCGUGAUAAGUGUCUUCGCCGGCACCUCGCAAGAGGGUGGCCGAUCGGGAGCUCUGUGCUUUCAAACCGUCUUCGGACAAUUUCUGACAACUUGACCUCAAAUCGAGUAGGACUACCCGCUGAACUUAAGCAUAUCAAUAAGCGGAGGA